rnacentral:rRNA from 1 species
UACGAAGGGGGCUAGCGUUGCUCGGAUUGACUGGGCGUAAAGGGCGCGUAGGCGGUUCGUACAGUCAGACGUGAAAUUCCUGGGCUCAACCUGGGGGCUGCGUUUGAUACGUGCGGACUUGAGUGCGGAAGAGGGUCGUGGAAUUCCCAGUGUAGAGGUGAAAUUCGUAGAUAUUGGGAAGAACACCGGUGGCGAAGGCGGUUCUCUGGGCCUUACCUGACGCUGAGGAGCGAAAGCGUGGGGGAGCGAACAGG